rnacentral:rRNA from 1 species
UACGUAGGUGGCAAGCGUUGUCCGGAUUUAUUGGGCGUAAAGAGCUCGUAGGCGGCUUGUUGCGUCGACUGUGAAAACCCGCGGCUUAACUGCGGGCUUGCAGUUGAUACGGGCAGGCUAGAGUUCGGUAGGGGAGACUGGAAUUCCUGGUGUAGCGGUGAAAUGCGCAGAUAUCAGGAGGAACACCGAUGGGGAAGGCAGGUCACUGGGCCGCAACUGACGCUGAGGAGCGAAAGCAUGGGGAGCGAACAGG